GAUGUUCCGUUUACUACAUGUAAAAAUAUACAUCAGCAUUUCGCAUAUUAGUGAACUAUACGUAACGCUUAAAUGAUUUCAAGUAAAUAAUCAUAUAACUGUAAUGAUGCAUGAUGCAAAUCUGGUAAGAUGUGUAAAGAAAACAUAGAAAAUAGCAGUUUAGUUUAUGGAUUGUAUAUUUUUCUCAAAGACUUUGCCGAAAUAAUUAAUAGAUGAUAUGAACACAGAGCACAUCACAUAUCAGCAGCCGAGAGGAUAGAUAAUAAAGUUCCAAGUGUAAAGAAAUAUUAUGGAGGGGAAGGAUAAACCACGAUUUACAAGUUCUCAAGACUUCUACUUAAAUUUUCCGUAUUGCCUGAAUUAUGCAGACAAUAUUGCGGCAAGACACCAGUGAAAAUACGGAAAGUUCAACAAAUGGCUGAUUUUAGUAGUUACUACUUUAGUAAUGAUGGUCGACUUUGCCCUGUUGUUUUCAUUAGGAGCUCUAUACAUAGACCUUAUGGAAACAUAUGAAACGGACAGAGCCACGGCGGCGGUGGUACAGUCCUUGAUGACCGGUGUUACCCUAGGCUUUGGUAAGAAGAUUGAACCUUUAUCCUUCUAGAACCGAAUUUGAUCAGC